rnacentral:rRNA from 1 species
GACGUAGGGCGCGAGCGUUGUCCGGAUUUAUUGGGCGUAAAGAGCUCGUAGGCGGCUCGGUAAGUCGGAUGUGAAACCUCCAGGCUCAACCUGGAGACGCCAUCUGAUACUGCCGUGGCUUGAGUCCGGUAGAGGAGCAGGGAAUUCCUGGUGUAGCGGUGAAAUGCGUAGAGAUCGGCAGGAACACCCAGGGGGAAACCAGGCCGACUGGGCAUCUGCUGACGCUGAGGUGCGAGAGCGUGGGGAGCGAACCGG